CCUACGGGAGGCAGCAGUGGGGAAUAUUGCACAAUGGGGGAAACCCUGAUGCAGCGACGCCGCGUGAGUGAAGAAGUAAUUCGUUAUGUAAAGCUCUAUCAGCAGGGAAGAAAAGGACGGUACGUGAGUAAGAAGCUCCGGCUAACUACGUGCCAGCAACCGCGGUAAUACGUAGGGGGCAAGCGUUAUCCGGAAUUACUGGGGGUAAAGGGAGCGUAGACGGCAGUGCAAGUCUGGAGUGAAAGGCGGGGGCUCAACCCCCGGACUGCUCUGGAAACUGUACGGCUGGAGUGCAGGAGAGGUAAGUGGAAUUCCUAGUGUAGCGGUGAAAUGCGUAGAUAUUAGGAGGAACACCAGUGGCGAAGGCGGCUUACUGGACUGUAACUGACGUUGAGGCUCGAAAGCGUGGGGAGCAAACAGGAUUAGAUACCCCAGUAGUC
rnacentral:rRNA from 1 species